UGAGCGUGUGCACGUGAGCGUGUGCAUGUGAGAGGGUGCACGUGAGUGUGUGCACGUGAGCGUGUGCACGUGAGAGGGUGCGUGUGAGAGGGUGCACGUGAGAGGGUGCACGUGAGUGUGUGCACGUGAGAGGGUGCACGUGAGAGAGUGCACGUGAGAGGGAUUGGGGCUCGGUGUUUGAGGUUGACGUCGUUUCUAACCUGGUACCAAUCCCGGCCCAUGUGGGAGGCUGUCCAGGGAGGUUGUGAAAUGCGCUAAAAGCAGUUUGUUGGUAUUGACCGCGCCCCUCUUCAGGUGCUUCCCAUUGGGAGCUUGGAGGCUCCUCACAGAAGGGCAGCUGUAAACAAACCGGGUAUGAAGAGAGGAAUAAACCAACACAACAUGUCUCCGGCUCUUUGAGGACACUCUGUCCUCAGGUCCAGUCCUGAUGGGCCAAUGGGACCCCACAGGAACCCUGGUUCUGAGCCGGUUCUGAGCUGGAUCUGACCCGGUUCUGACCUGGUUCUGGUUCCGACCUGGUUCUGGUUCUGACCUGGUUCUGAUCCGGUUCAGACCUGGUUCUGAGCUGAUUCUGAUCCGGUUCAGACCUGGUUCUGAUCGGGUCCUGAUCUGGUUCUGGUUCUGACCCGGUUCAGACCUGGUUCUGAGCUGAUUCUGAUCCGGUUCUGAUCCGGUUCAGACCCGGUUCUGGUUCUGACCCUGUUCUGAUCCGGUUCAGACCUGGUUCUGAUCUGGAUCUGGUGCUGACCUGGUUCUGACUCGCAGACUCUAUUUUCUGCCUGUGUGACUUUGCGAUGUUAAAAGCAGAGAGCAGGUGAACACGGGCCUGUGGACGCUGGGGUCGCUGUGGGUCGGACUGGAAGUGACCAAUAAGAUGGGCUGAGGAGGUUCUGGUCUUCUAAAGUCUAUAACCCCAUCAUAACCCUACCAAAACCCGCCAUAACCCUACCAUAGCUCACCAUUACCACACCAUAACCUGAACAUAAUCUGACCAUCAGUCUAUAGCCAGGUCGUGCUGGGGAUAUGGUCAGGUUAUGGUUAUGGUCAGGUUAUGGUUAUAGACAGGUUAUGCUGGGGUUAUGGUCAGGUUAUGUUCAGGUCAUGGUUAUUGUGGGGUUCUGGACAGGUUAUGCUGGGGUUAUGGUCAGGUUAUGGUUAUGGUUGGGUUUGGUCUGGUCUGACUCAGGCGCUCGUAAUGUGAACGUGUCGCUGUUCCCCGUUGAAGCAACAGUGAAUAGAAAAGCUGAACCUGGGCCAACGGUGGACCAAUAGGAACCCAGACUGCCUGCCAGCCCCUCCCCUCAUGCAAGCCACUGAAAACAUCGCACACAAACGCACACACACACACACACAAGGACACACACAAACCAACACACACACAAACCUACAAACGGACACGCAUAAACCCCCCCACACACACAGACACAAACCUACACACGCAUGCACGCACGUACGCGAGCAAGCAAGCCAAACCUAAACACACACAAACGUACCCGCGCACACAAACCUACUUACCUAAUCACGCAAAAAAUGACACACGCACAAACAGUGCCUGUUUCACAUUGGCAACGCCUAAAAACAAUCCCAUGAAACACACAAGCCCCCCCAAUCACCAGAGCCCAUCGCUGCCGUGUUCCAGGAAGGCUGUGGGCUCCGUCCGGCUUCCCAGAAGGGAGGGUUCACAGAACCGGAGCUGCUUGGGUUCCAGAUGAACCCUGUCUCCCGGUGCCGAGCGGGGGGGGGGGGGGGGGGGGGGGGGUCCGGGUCACUGAGCAGAGGCACACACUGAGCGCCCCCCAGCCUCAGGGGUUAGGGGUUAGUGUUAGGUUUAAGGUCUAGGGUUAGGGCAAGAGGUUAGGUUUAGGAUUAGGGUUAGGAGUUAGGGUUAGGAGUUUGGGGUUUGGGUUAGGGGCUUGGUUUAGGGUUAGGGCUAGGGUAAGGGGCUAGGUUUUGGGUUAGGGGCUAAGGUUAGGGGUUAUGUUUAGGGUAAGGUUUUGGGUAAGGUGCAACCAGCAACCUGCUGAGCCCUCGGCCCCUCCCAGCCUUGGCUGCUCCAGGUGCACCUAACCCCCCCCCCCCCCCCCCCCCCGGCACAACAAACAAAC